GGGGGUGGGAGGGAGAGGGGACCUGCAGUGCCAGGAAAACGGAUUGUACUGCAGGUCCCCUCUCCCUCCUACCCCCUAUCCCAAGUU